rnacentral:lncRNA from 1 species
UCAGCUUAUGAACGUACCAUGUGGUGGAGCCAGCUUUAGAGUCCGGGGUUUCUGCCCAGUCCACCCUCCCUUCUUCCUCUCCCAUCCCCAGCUGACUCUACCUGCCUCCUCCUUCCUCUCUCUUCCUUCCACUUCUCACUGCUCUUUCCAUGAAUAUGUCAGCCAAGUGGUCUCUCUGUGGCGUUCAGUCCCGACCACUGCAGACACAGCUCCAAAAGUACAGAGAGGAAAGACUUCUCAUGGUGAUUUUCAGCAAGUCUUCCUGCCCAUUGGCUCUCACCAUCAUGGCACCCAUCUGCUUCAUUCUGACAUCUAUUCACUGCUUUUGGCAGAGAUGUGA